rnacentral:rRNA from 1 species
UACGGAGGAUGCAAGCGUUAUCCGGAUUCAUUGGGUUUAAAGGGUACGUAGGUGGCCAAUUAAGUCAGUGGUGAAAUCCUGCCGCUUAACGGUAGAACUGCCAUUGAAACUGGUUGGCUUGAGUACAGUUGAGGUAGGCGGAAUGUGUAGUGUAGCGGUGAAAUGCUUAGAUAUUACACAGAACCCCGAUUGCGAAGGCAGCUUACUAAACUGUAACUGACACUGAGGUACGAAAGCGUGGGGAGCGAACAGGAUUAGAUACCCUGGUAGUCCACGCUGUAAACGAUGCUCACUCGCUGUAUGCGAUACAUUGUAUGCGGCCAAGCGAAAGUCUUAAGUGAGCCACCUGGGGAGUACGUUGGCAACAGUGAA